GUGCUUACUUUAGCAUCAUAUAUACUAAAAUUGGAAUAAUACAGACAAGAUUAGUAUGCUCCCUGCAUAAGAAUGAGAUGCAAAUUUGUAAACCAUUCCAUAUUUUU
ensembl:snRNA U6 U6 spliceosomal RNA